GGGUGCAGGUAGGGAGCUCAGCGUGCUGGCUGGGUGCUCAGGGUGCUCUCAGGGUGCAAGUAGGGUGCAGGCAGGGUGCAAGUAGGGCGCACUCAGGGCACAAUUAGGGUGCUCAGGGUGCAGCCAGGGUGCACUCAGAGCACAAUUAGGGUACCCAGGGUGCAGGUAGGGCACGCUCAGGGUGCUCAGGGUGCUGGCUGGGUGCUGGAAGGGUGUGGGCAGGGUGCAGUCAGGGUGCUCAGGGUGCUGGCUGGGUGCUCAGGGUGUGGGCAGGGUGCUCAGGGUGUGAGCAGGGUGCAAGUAGGGUGCUCAGGGUGCAGCCAGGGUACACUCAGGGCACAGUUAGGGUGCUCAGGGUGCAGGCAGGGUGCUCAGGGUGCUCAGGAUGCAA
rnacentral:lncRNA from 1 species